rnacentral:rRNA from 1 species
CACGAAAGGCGCAACGAUCUGGGCACUGUCUCAACGAGAGACUCGGUGAAAUUAUAGUACCUGUGAAGAUGCAGGUUACCCGCGACAGGACGGAAAGACCCCGUGGAGCUUUACUGCAGCCUGAUAUUGAAUGUUGGUACAGCUUGUACAGGAUAGGUAGGAGCCUUGGAAACCGGAGCGCUAGCUUCGGUGGAGGCAUCGGUGGGAUACUACCCUGGCUGUAUUGACCUUCUAACCCGCUGCCCUUAUCGGGCAGGGAGACAGUGUCAGGUGGGCAGUUUGACUGGGGCGGUCGCCUCCUAAAAUGUAACGGAGGCGCCCAAAGGUUCCCUCAGAAUGGUUGGAAAUCAUUCGCAGAGUGUAAAGGCACAAGGGAGCUUGACUGCGAGACCUACAAGUCGAGCAGGGACGAAAGUCGGGCUUAGUGAUCCGGUGGUUCCGCAUGGAAGGGCCAUCGCUCAACGGAUAAAAGCUACCCCGGGGAUAACAGGCUUAUCU